rnacentral:rRNA from 1 species
UACAGAGGGUGCGAGCGUUAAUCGGAAUUACUGGGCGUAAAGCGCACGUAGUCGGCUUUGCAAGUCGGGUGUGAAAUCCCCGGGCUCAACCUGGGAAUUGCAUUUGAGACUGAAUAGCUAGGGUGCGGAAGAGGGAAGCGGAAUUUCCGGUGUAGCGGUGAAAUGCGUAGAUAUCAGGAGGAACACCGGCGGUGUAGACGGCUUUCUGGACCGUAGCUGACGCUGAGACACGAAAGCGUGGGUAGCAAACAGG